rnacentral:misc_RNA from 1 species
UGGAAGUCGGUUAUGGUUCACGAG